UUUAAGCCAUGCGAGUCGAACGAGUUUAGGCUCGUGGCGUACGGCUCAGUAACACGUGGAUAACCUACCCUUAGGACCGGGAUAACCUUGGGAAACUGAGGACAAUACUGGAUAGGCAAUUUUUCCUGUAAUGGUUUUUUGUUUAAAUGUUUUUUCGCCUAAGGAUGGGUCUGCGGCCGAUUAGGUAGUUGGUUAGGUAAUGGCUUACCAAGCCGCUGAUCGGUACGGGUUGUGAGAGCAAGAGCCCGGAGAUGGAACCUGAGACAAGGUUCCAGGCCCUACGGGGUGCAGCAGGCGCGAAACCUCCGCAAUGUGAGAAAUCGCGACGGGGGGAUCCCAAGUGCCAUUCUUAACGGGAUGGCUUUUCAUUAGUGUAAAAAGCUUUUGGAAUAAGAGCUGGGCAAGACCGGUGCCAGCCGCCGCGGUAACACCGGCAGCUCUAGUGGUAGCAAUUUUUAUUGGGCCUAAAGCGUCCGUAGCCGGUUUAAUAAGUCUCUGGUGAAAUCCUGUAGCUUAACUGUGGGAAUUGCUGGAGAUACUAUUAGACUUGAGACCGGGAGAGGUUAGAGGUACUCCCAGGGUAGAGGUGAAAUUCCGUAAUCCUGGGGGGACCGCCUGUUGCGAAGGCGUCUAACUGGAACGGUUCUGACGGUGAGGGACGAAAGUUAGGGGCGCGAACCGGAUUAGGUACCCGGGUAGUCCUAACUGUAAACGAUGCGGACUUGGUGUUGGGGUGGCUUUGAGCUGCUCCAGUGCCGAAGGGAAGCUGUUAAGUCCGCCGCCUGGGAAGUACGGUCGCAAGACUGAAACUUAAAGGAAUUGGCGGGGGAGCACCACAACGCGUGGAGCCUGCGGUUUAAUUGGAUUCAACGCCGGACAUCUCACCAGAGGCGACAGCUGUAUGAUAGCCAGGUUGAUGACUUUGCUUGACUAGCUGAGAGGUGGUGCAUGGCC
rnacentral:rRNA from 1 species